GAUGAACGCUGGCGGCGUGCCUAAUACAUGCAAGUCGAGCGGUAAGGCCCUUCGGGGUACACGAGCGGCGGACGGCUGAGUAACACGUAGGAACGUACCCCAAACUGAGGGAUAAGCACCAGAAAUGGUGUCUAAUACCGCAUGUGGCCCACGGGCUAAAGCUCCGGCGGUUUGGGAACGGCCUGCGUCCGAUUAGCUAGUUGGUAGUGUAAUAGACUACCAAGGCGACGAUCGGUAGCUGGUCUGAGAGGAUGAUCAGCCAGUCUGGGACUGAGACACGGCCCAGACUCCUACGGGAGGCAGCAGUAGGGAAUUUUCCACAAUGGGGGCAACCCUGAUGGAGCAACGCCGCGUGCAGGAUGAAGGUCUUCGGGUUGUAAACUGCUUUUAUCUGUGACGAUUAUGACGGUAGCAGAUGAAUAAGGACCUGCUAACUACGUGCCAGCAGCCGCCGUAA
rnacentral:rRNA from 1 species